UACGUAGGGGGCAAGCGUUGUCCGGAUUCAUUGGGCGUAAAGAGCGUGUAGGCGGCCAGGUAGGUCGGUUGUGAAAACUGGAGGCUCAACCUUCGAGACGUCGACCGAAACCAUCUGGCUAGAGUCCGGGAGAGGAGAGUGGAAUUCCUGGUGUAGCGGUGAAAUGCGCAGAUAUCAGGAGGAACACCGGUGGCGAAGGCGGAUCUCUGGGCCUUACCUGACGCUGAGGCGCGAAAGCUAGGGGAGCGAACAGG
rnacentral:rRNA from 1 species